rnacentral:rRNA from 1 species
GAUGAACGCUGGCGGCGUGCCUAAUACAUGCAAGUCGAGCGAACAGACGAGGAGCUUGCUCCUCUGACGUUAGCGGCGGACGGGCGAGUAACACGUGGAUAACCUACCUAUAAGACUGGGAUAACUUCGGGAAACCGGAGCUAAUACCGGAUAAUAUAUUGAACCGCAUGGUUCAAUAGUGAAAGACGGUUUUGCUGUCACUUAUAGAUGGAUCCGCGCCGCAUUAGCUAGUUGGUAAGGUAACGGCUUACCAAGGCAACGAUGCGUAGCCGACCUGAGAGGGUGAUCGGCCACACUGGAACUGAGACACGGUCCAGACUCCUACGGGAGGCAGCAGUAGGGAAUCUUCCGCAAUGGGCGAAAGCUUGACGGAGCAACGCCGCGUGAGUGAUGAAGGUCUUCGGAUCGUAAAACUCUGUUAUUAGGGAAGAACAAAUGUGUAAGUAAUUAUGCACGUCUUGACGGUACCUAAUCAGAAAGCCACGGCUAACUACGUG